rnacentral:tRNA from 1 species
CAAAAUAUUUAAAAUAUAAAUACUAGUAAUAGAUAGGGGCGGAUGUAGCCAAGUGGAUCAAGGCAGUGGAUUGUG